CCUACGGGAGGCAGCAGUGGGGAAUAUUGCACAAUGGGGGAAACCCUGAUGCAGCGACGCCGCGUGAGUGAAGAAGUAAUUCGUUAUGUAAAGCUCUAUCAGUAGGGAAGAAAAUGACGGUACCUGAGUAAGAAGCCCCGGCUAACUACGUGCCAGCAGCCGCGGUAAUACGUAGGGGGCAAGCGUUAUCCGGAUUUACUGGGUGUAAAGGGAGCGUAGACGGCAGUGCAAGUCUGGAGUGAAAGGCGGGGGCUCAACCCCCGGAUUGCACUGGAAACUGUACGGCUGGAGUGCAGGAGAGGUGAGUGGAAUUCGUGGUGUAGGGGUGAAAUGCUUAGAUAUUAGGAAGAACGCCAGUUGCGAGGGCAGCUUACUGGACUGUAACGGACGUUGAGGCUCGAAAGCGUGGGGAGCAAACAGGAUUAGAUACCCGUGUAGUC
rnacentral:rRNA from 1 species